GAUGAACGCUGGCGGCGUGCUUAACACAUGCAAGUCGAACGAAGCACUUUAUUUGAUUUCCUUCGGGACUGAUUAUUUUGUGACUGAGUGGCGGACGGGUGAGUAACGCGUGGGUAACCUGCCUUGUACAGGGGGAUAACAGUUGGAAACGGCUGCUAAUACCGCAUAAGCGCACAGCAUCGCAUGAUGCAGUGUGAAAAACUCCGGUGGUAUAAGAUGGACCCGCGUUGGAUUAGCUAGUUGGUGAGGUAACGGCCCACCAAGGCGACGAUCCAUAGCCGACCUGAGAGGGUGACCGGCCACAUUGGGACUGAGACACGGCCCAAACUCCUACGGGAGGCAGCAGUGGGGAAUAUUGCACAAUGGGCGAAAGCCUGAUGCAGCGACGCCGCGUGAGCGAAGAAGUAUUUCGGUAUGUAAAGCUCUAUCAGCAGGGAAGAUAAUGA
rnacentral:rRNA from 1 species